ensembl:lncRNA
CUUGUGAGGUCCUCUUGUGAGCUCCACCUCCUCCUGUGAGGUCCUCUUGUGAGCUCCACCUCCUCCUGUGAGGUCCUCUUGUGAGGUCCUCUUGUGAGCUCCACCUCCUCCUGUGAGCUCCUCCUCCACUGUGAGCUCCUCCUCCACUGUGAGCUCCUCCUCCUCCUGUGAGCUCCUCCCCACUGUGAGCUCCUCCUCCACUGUGAGCUCCUCCUCCUCCUGUGAGCUCCUCCUCCUCCUGUGAGCUCCUCCUGUGAGCUCCUCCUCCUCCACUGUGAGCUCCUCCUCCUCCUGUGAGCUCCUCCUGUGAGCUCCUCCUCUACUGUGAGCUCCUCCUGUGAGCUCCUCCUCCUCCUGUGAGCUCCUCCUCCUCUGUCAGGUCCUCCUGUGAGCUCCUCCUCCACUGUGUGCUCCACCUUGUGUUCUCUCUCAACAGAUCCUUCCUUCACUGUUGCCGUGAUUUGAAACAACCUUUAGCAUUUUUUUAUAAGAUGACCUUUUACAUUUUUGGAAGGUUUCUCGUGAACCUUCCACACCGCUCCCCUGGUACCCUACCCCUGGUACCCUAACUCUUCGUCCCCUAACCCUGGUACCCUAACCCUGGUACCCCUGCCCUGGUCCCCUAACCCUGGUCCCCUAACCCUGGUCCCCUAGCCCUGGUACCCUAACCCUGGUACCCUAACCCUGGUACCCUAACCCUGGUAGCCCCCGGUAACCCUGGUACCUAACCCUGGUCCCCUAACCCUGGUACCCCAGCCCUGGUCCCCUAACCCUGGUACCCCAGCCCUGGUCCCCUAACCCUGGUACCCUAACCCUGGUCCCCUAGCCCUGGUCCCCUAACCCUGGUCCCCUAACCCUGGUCCCCUAACCCUGGUACCCUAACCCUGGUCCCCUAACCCUGCUACCCUAACCCUGGUAGCCUAACCCUGCUACCCUAACCCUGGUAGCCUAACCCUGCUACCCUAACCCUGGUAGCCCCGUGGUAACCCAACACUCCAAUACUCGCUUCCCUACUGCCCCCCACUCCCCUACUCUCUCCCCUACUCACUCCCUACUCACUCCCUUACUCACUCCCUUACUCACUCCACUACUCACUCCCUUACUCACUCCACUACUCACUCCCUUACUCACUCCCCUACUCACUCCCCUACUCUGUUCAUUUCUCAGGGCAGCUUAUUGAACAUGUAUGUAAGAAUGUAAUGUUUAUAAUAAUACAACAUGUGGUCGUUGUGAACAUGUGACCUUGAUGCCACAUGGUCGCUGACUCCUUCAAACCUUUGUUUACAG